ACGACCUUACUUGAACAGGAUCUGUUCUAUAGGAUCGUACCGCUACAUCCUUUACCAAAAAGGAGGCAAGAACUUAAGUCUGGUUGAUGCAUUCUGACCUCUGGGCCAGAGCGUGAAUAACGGCCUGGAUGAGUCCCUGGAUCCAUCCGACGGCUGUAGAGGAUCGUUCCUGCCUGGCUUCUCACACCGGUGCAGGGUGGCUCAGAGGUUGUCUGACAGACU
rfam:Brachypodium distachyon strain Bd21 chromosome 3, whole genome shotgun sequence.